UAAAAAUUAGUUAAUUUAAAAUAUUAGUCUGUCAAGCUAAAGAAAUUUAUUUAUAAAUAUUUUUAG
rnacentral:tRNA from 1 species